rnacentral:rRNA from 1 species
GACGAACGCUGGCGGCGUGCUUAACACAUGCAAGUCGAACGGUGAGGGGGUCUGCUUUUGUGGGCCCUGGAUGAGUGGCGAACGGGUGAGUAACACGUGAGUAACCUGCCCCCUUCUUCUGGAUAACCGCAUGAAAGUGUGGCUAAUACGGGAUAUUCUGGGUCUGUCGCAUGAUGGGUCUGGGAAAGAUUGCGCCUUUGGGUGUUUUUGGUGGGGGAUGGGCUCGCGGCCUAUCAGCUUGUUGGUGGGGUGAUGGCCUACCAAGGCGGUGACGGGUAGCCGGCCUGAGAGGGUGGGCGGUCACACUGGGACUGAGACACGGCCCAGACUCCUACGGGAGGCAGCAGUGGGGAAUAUUGCACAAUGGGCGCAAGCCUGAUGCAGCGACGCCGCGUGAGGGAUGGAGGCCUUCGGGUUGUAAACCUCUUUCGCCAGUGAAGCAGGCCUGCUCCUUGUGGGUGGGUUGACGGUAGCUGGAUAAGAAGCGCCGGCUAACUACGUG